CUCGGCUCCGGGUGCGGCCGGCGGCCCGGACGGGCUGCGCGGAGUUGUGGCCGGGCCGCGCUCACAACCCGCGUUCAUGGAAGUGUCGCUGGGGACGUCCCGCAAGCCCGCAGGUGGGACACGAGCACCUUCGGAUGUGAAGCCUCGCCUAGAUAAUGUCCCUGUCUGUACUUGGCAUGUUAUUGUCAGACCGUCCUGCUAAGGAAGGCAUUUCACAGAAUCACAGAUUCCAACCUGUGACUAAACAACACCUUGUCAACUAGACCAUGGCACUAAGUACCACAUCCAGUCUUUCCUUAAACACCUCAAGGGAAGGUGACAACACCACUUCCCUGGGCAGCCCGUCCCAAUGCCCAAUCACCCUUUCCGUGAUGAAAUUCUUCCUGAUGGCCAACCUGAACCUCCCCUGGCGCAGCGUAAGACUAUGUCCUCUCACCCUGUCACUUUCACCUUGCAGUGCAUAGCCACUCCUGCUUAAGGAUGCCAAAAAGCCUUGGUUUGUGUGACAGCCGCGUGUGCACAUCGUGCAUGGCAUUUUCUUCUGAGUAUAGAAACAGAAGUACAUCGGAUGAGGCAGGGUGAGCUGUGCACAGACCUGCCUGCUGCCGCAGUGGGUUGGCACAGCACCCCAGUCCCUUCUCUGCAACUUGCAACCUACAGGCACCAAGCAGGGGUUUGCAGUGUUUGAUUCUUGCUGACUACCUGCACAUGAGACUGAGACUUCAAUAACUGCACUUGCAAACUGAAAAUCUUCAUGUUAACUGCCAAUGAGAGAUUUUACUUCACGAGAGGAGUGGUACAUGCCGAAUCAUGACCUUGCAGGACACCUCAGUCUUACAGACAAAGGAAAUUGGGAUGGAGGAAAGCACAACAUGACUUUCAAUUGAGAAAUGUAGUCAUGAAGGUUAAUGUUCUUAAAUGAAAAACUAGUGUUUAUUCCAGCAUAACUAUUGAUUGUGUGUACAAUUCGGUUUUGUUCCUCUUUUUCCUCAUCUCCUCUUAACCUUUCUUCUCAUCCAGUGGUGAUGUCUUUUCCUUUCACAGGUGCUGCAGGGUUGGAAGUGUCCUGGGCUCUGUGACUCAUUUGGUGAUGGCUCUGUAAGGCUGCCCUCCCACUGUGAUCUGGCAUAUCUGCUCCCUGUAUUUACUUUCUGCCUCCAGACCUGCUCCACCUUUCUUCUGCCCAAAACCACCCCAUCAACAGGGUUUGCCACUUCAUGUGCAUUUUGCCCAGCGGCUUCUUCACCAGACAUCGGAAACCUUAGUUUAGGUUCUACUCAUUGUCACAGUUUCACCACCUUAAAUUAAGAAGCAACAAAUCUUCAGAAGGGUUAAUAAAAACAAACAUUUUCUUAUCCA